AACGUAUUACCUGAGGCAGUGGGUCUGGAAAGUGGGAGGGCUUGAGUGCAGUGGACGCUGCUGUGGUAGGACCAGACCCCCUCUGGGACUGAGGCGCUCAUUCCCCCACUGGACAUGGUGACGGCGCUCAGGUCUCAGCCGAGCAUCUCUCGGGACUGUUCAUCAGCCACUCGUGUUCCUCUCUCCUCUCCAAGGGGAAACUGCAUGCAAUGACGGCUCCAUGCAAAGUGCUACACUGGGGAUGGAGCCCUCAGUACGAGUCUCCGGGAGACCCUUCAUAUUUACACCAUGACACCCUUUUAACUCUGUUAUUGUAGAAGAACGUAUUUUGUUGGACAACCCUUCCAGCAUAAGCAGAGUAAAUGAUGGGCUGAGCCUCAGUC
rnacentral:lncRNA from 1 species